rnacentral:rRNA from 1 species
UACCAGCUCUCCGAGUGGUAGGGAUGAUUAUUGGGCUUAAAGCGUCCGUAGCCGGCUUAGCAAGUCUCCUGUUAAAUUCAGCGACCUAAUCGUUGAGCCGCGGGAGAUACUACUAGGCUAGGAGGCGGGAGAGGUCGACGGUACUUCUGGGGUAGGGGUGAAAUCCUAUAAUCCCGGGAGGACCACCAGUGGCGAAGGCUGUCGACUAGAACGCGCUCGACGGUGAGGGACGAAAGCUGGGGGAGCGAACCGGAUUAGAUACCCGGGUAGUCCCAGCUGUAAACGAUGCGGGCUAGGUGUUGGGGUGGCUACGUGCCACUUCGGUGCCGCAGGGAAGCCAUUAAGCCCGCCGCCUGGGGAGUACGGCCGCAAGGCUGAAACUUAAAGGAAUUGGCGGGGGAGCACCACAAGGCGUGAAGCUUGCGGUUC